rnacentral:rRNA from 1 species
UACGGAGGGUGCAAGCGUUAUUCGGAUUUACUGGGCGUAAAGCGCACGUAGGCUGAUUGGCAAGUCAGAUGUGAAAGACCGGAGCUUAACUCCGGAACUGCAUUUGAUACUGCCAGUCUUGAGUAUGGUAGAGGGGGGUGGAACUCCCGGUGUAGAGGUGAAAUUCGUAGAUAUCGGGAAGAACACCAGAGGCGAAGGCGACCCCCUGGGCCAUUACUGACGCUGAGGUGCGAAAGCGUGGGGAG